CUUCUUGUCUAUGACAGCAGCUAUGAAUGCGUCGGAUGUAUCUGGUAUGAGCAGCAACAGGUUCCGAGCGUCGUUAACAAGGUGCUGGCCAGUUACUCUAAGAUCCCAGCUGACCUUCAGCUAUGAGGUUCUUUUACCAUCUGUUUGCUGCUCUCCUUUGGAUUGCCCUGGCGGCUCCAGGCAAAGGUGUGAAUCGUGAUGCUGUCAGCUGCAGAAACAGAGACGGGGUGUGCCGGUUUGACAGCUGCUAUUACAACGAAAUUGAGAUUGCCACUUGCUAUCACCACACAAUGAAAUGCUGCAGAGAGAGGGAUUAGAACGUGUCAAUGACUCUGACAGCUGGAGAGAUGACCUGAGACCUCAGCCUGGUGAUGAACUGCACCAUUCUUCUUGCAUUUCGGAAACUAAGUUAAAUUAUCUUAAUUAAAAUUAAGAUGAAUCUGCACCCUUCUACUUGCAUGAAAAACAAACUGGUGCUAAAUCACACCUCUAUAAUAAAACCAUAUGAAUCCUUA